rnacentral:lncRNA from 1 species
CGCCCAGAAGAGUCUCGAUGCCAUUAAUCGAUUUUAUUGGAGAUAUAGUUAUCGUGGAAGAAAAAAUUACUCUCCCACUAAUCACAGAAACAGAUCCAUGAUAAAGUACUAUUUUUCUAACAUUCAUGAUCGUCCGAGUUUCAUCGGCUUACAAUGUCAUACUUGGACGAUCUGGACUUAAUACCUUGAGAGCAGUAGUUUCAACAUACCAAUUGCUGAUCCGAUUC